AUGCUCAGCUCAUUCGGGAGCGCCUCGAUGCCGGCGACCUGGAGGAGCCGUGGCGUUUGGCAGAUGGCUUACUCCUGCAUGGGCGCCGCCUCUUCGUGCCGGAUCACGACGACCUCCGUCACCAGGUUCUGCUGCAAGCACACUCGGCCGGCCACAAGGGUGUGCAGAAGACCCUUCACCGUCUCCUCGCCGAUUUCUACCUCCCCGACGAUCAAGCCCUGGUCCGAGACUGGGUGCGGUCUUGUGUUACGUGCCAGCGUAACAAGACGGAGACACUGCACCCAGCUGGGCUGCUACAGCCCCUGGAGGUGCCCUCUCAAGUCUGGGCCGAUAUCUCCAUGGACUUCAUCGAGGGCCUCCCUAAGGUGGGCGGCAAGUCCGUCAUCCUCACGGUGGUCGACCGCUUCUCCAAGUACGCACACUUCAUCGCGCUCGACCAUCCCUACACCGCCGCUUCCGUGGCUCGUGCAUUCUUUGACGGCAUCGUCCGCCUACACGGGUUUCCCUCUUCGAUCGUCAGCGACCGGGACCCGGUGUUCACGGGGCAUGUCUGGCGCGAUCUCUUCCGGAUGGUAG
rnacentral:rRNA from 1 species